rnacentral:rRNA from 1 species
UACGGAGGGGGCUAGCGUUGUUCGGAAUUACUGGGCGUAAAGCGCACGUAGGCGGCUUUGUAAGUUAGAGGUGAAAGCCCGGAGCUCAACUCCGGAAUUGCCUUUAAGACUGCAUCGCUUGAACAUCGGAGAGGUAAGUGGAAUUCCGAGUGUAGAGGUGAAAUUCGUAGAUAUUCGGAAGAACACCAGUGGCGAAGGCGACUUACUGGACGAUUGUUGACGCUGAGGUGCGAAAGCGUGGGGAGCAAACAGG